rnacentral:rRNA from 1 species
UACAGAGGUCUCGAGCGUUAGGCGGAAUCACUGGGCUUAAAGCGUGUGUAGGUGGAUCGUUAAGUACCUUGUGAAAUCCCACGGCUCAACCGUGGAACAGCUGGGUAUACUGGCGGUCUUGGGCCAUUCAGGGGCGACUGGAACAAGCGGUGGAGCGGUGAAAUGCGUAGAUAUCGACUUGGAACGCCGAAGGUGAAAACAGGUCGCUGGGGAUGUGCC